CAAAUCGUACCCCAAACCGACACAGGUGGUCAGGUAGAGAAUACCAAGGCGCUUGAGAGAACUCGGGUGAAGGAACUAGGCAAAAUGGUGCCGUAACUUCGGGAGAAGGCACGCUGACACGUAGGUGAAGUGAUUUACUCAUGGAGCUGAAGUCAGUCGAAGAUACCAGCUGGCUGCAACUGUUUAUUAAAAACACAGCACUGUGCAAACACGAAAGUGGACGUAUACGGUGUGACGCCUGCCCGGUGCCGGAAGGUUAAUUGAUGGGGUCAGCGCAAGCGAAGCUCCUGAUCGAAGCCCCGGUAAACGGCGGCCGUAACUAUAACGGUCCUAAGGUAGCGAAAUUCCUUGUCGGGUAAGUUCCGACCUGCACGAAUGGCGUAAUGAUGGCCAGGCUGUCUCCACCCGAGACUCAGUGAAAUUGAACUCGCUGUGAAGAUGCAGUGUACCCGCGGCAAGACGGAAAGACCCCGUGAACCUUUACUAUAGCUUGACACUGAACAUUGAGCCUUGAUGUGUAGGAUAGGUGGGAGGCUUUGAAGUGUGGACGCCAGUCUGCAUGGAGCCGACCUUGAAAUACCACCCUUUAAUGUUUGAUGUUCUAACGUGGACCCGUAAUCCGGGUUGCGGACAGUGUCUGGUGGGUAGUUUGACUGGGGCGGUCUCCUCCUAAAGAGUAACGGAGGAGCACGAAGGUUGGCUAAUCCUGGUCGGACAUCAGGAGGUUAGUGCAAUGGCAUAAGCCAGCUUGACUGCGAGCGUGACGGCGCGAGCAGGUGCGAAAGCAGGUCAUAGUGAUCCGGUGGUUCUGAAUGGAAGGGCCAUCGCUCAACGGAUAAAAGGUACUCCGGGGAUAACAGGCUGAUACCGCCCAAGAGUUCAUAUCGACGGCGGUGUUUGGCACCUCGAUGUCGGCUCAUCACAUCCUGGGGCUGAAGUAGGUCCCAAGGGUAUGGCUGUUCGCCAUUUAAAGUGGUACGCGAGCUGGGUUUAGAACGUCGUGAGACAGUUCGGUCCCUAUCUGCCGUGGGCGCUGGAGAACUGAGGGGGGCUGCUCCUAGUACGAGAGGACCGGAGUGGACGCAUCACUGGUGUUCGGGUUGUCAUGCCAAUGGCACUGCCCGGUAGCUAAAUGCGGAAGAGAUAAGUGCUGAAAGCAUCUAAGCACGAAACUUGCCCCGAGAUGAGUUCUCCCUGAGACUUAGAGUCUCCUGAAGGAACGUUGAAGACGACGACGUUGAUAGGCCGGGUGUGUAAGCGCAGCGAUGCGUUGAGCUAACCGGUACUAAUGAACCGUGAGGCUUAACCUU
rnacentral:rRNA from 1 species